rnacentral:snRNA from 1 species
GUGCUCACUUUGGCAGCACAUAUACUAAAACUGUAACAAUACAGAGAAGAUUAGCAUGGUCCCUGCACAAGGAUGACAUGAAAAUUCAUGAAGUGUUCCAUAUUCUA